AUAAAAAAUGCAUAAUUUUUCUGUUCUCUGAUAACACGUUAUGACUACAACAGGUAAAUGUGGAUGCACUUCACCAUUACAGACAAUGAUGCUAGACUAGCAAUAUGUAAAAGAUUUUGGCUGAAAUAUUCAGUUUUUGGGGCUAAAUUAGAACUUUGGUUCUCGAUGAUUUUGUAAUAAAUUCAUUUUUACAUUUAAAUUCUGUUGAAACCAUGCGUUAUGUUGUACUUCAUAAUAAAUUGGGGGAAAAAAAAACAUUAACUUAAGUAUCAGAUAUUCCCUUUUCAAAGACAAUUUUUUAUUUGCAUUAGAUGUUGAGUGUUAAAUUUAACAGGUGACUUAACUUAGGCUCCGGCUGUUCCUCGGUACGAUCCCUAACCACAUGACUAAUUUACCAUCCUAACAGCCGAGUAAAAGAGAGCAGAUACUGAGGUGUUGUAGUGUUUUGUGUUCGAGCUGAUUCUAUAUCCAAGUGUAAUUAUAUCAGGAGCUGCAGUCAUGCUGUUGCCAGCUCACUGAUUCGUAUCUAAUAUCUUUUCCUCUGACAAGGGAAAUCCUGCAUUGCCCCGCCCUGUCUUCUCCCAAAGGGCUUCCCCCUCCCUGAUGGAAAUGCAGAAGAUGUUUGUGCGUGUGCUAGAAAGAGAUAGAGUUUCUACUUGGUCUUCAUAUGUGUCUAAGUGCCCUAUCUUCUGCCAUUCACUCCGCCCUCCACCCAAUAUUUUCUUUUCCCUCCUAUUUUCCCUUAUUGCGUUUUUCUCUUAACCCAUCCUCCAUCAGAUCUUCCUUUCUGUCUUUCAAUAUCUUUUUCAACCACUAAUCUUAUUUAUUUUUUCGCCCUCCCACCAUCCCAUCCAUUUUUCUCUAAGAUUCUUUGUUUUUCAGCUUCUGUGCAGUAUACCUCCCCCCAUUCCCCCUCUGGAUCGGUCUCAUUACUUUACCCACUUUCCCUCUUCCAACUCCAAUCCCAUUUAUGGAAAGUAGUAAAUGGGGAAGCUGACAGAAUCUAUUCCAGUCAGAGGCUGUUCCUUCCUGCUCGGUGCAGUUCGGAUGCCUGGUAACCAGGUCUCUCCACCUGCACCUCAUCCUUCCCUCUGCCUCAACCACCCAUCUGAAUAAUUGAAUUAUCAUUGAAGCUCAAGAUGUCUCAAACGAACGCUGAGGCACACAUCAUUAAAGUCACUGAAGGGGAACAGAGAUCUGCCAGCUCAAUGGAUGGCCAUGUCCGGAAUGCUCUCUAUCCCCUCUAAUCCCACAUCAAGGCCCUUCCUCUCCACUCUGACAUCAGUCAAGUCCACCUGUAGAGAUCAGCCUUCUUCCUUCUCUGUAGUCUAUGGCCACUGACUCAUACUGCAUGAAGAGUAUUUAGAUGCCAUAUGCACAAGCUUCAAUAAGCUAUUGAUUAUAUUUGUAUGACAGAAAGAUAUGUUUUUUUUUAUAUCUUCAUCUUUUUUUGUGUGUGGCAUACACAUGGCCGGUAAUGAGUAGACCUUAUUUCAGAGAGAUUACCAGAGUUUGGCCACUGGUGGUUGUGGAGAUGGGACUCAAUUGAGUACUAACACCUAAUAAAGCACCUGAGCACAGAGUUCUGGGAAGAUCAAGAGGACACGAUAAUCAUCUCUACAAAAAGGCCAAUAUAAUAACCAUCAAAAUUCAGCAAAACGUCUCUCCUACAGUCCCAAUCAUGGAAAAUACGUGUGAGAACUUCACUCAGCAUAACAUAAUGUAUAAAAGAUUAGUUCAGCCAAAAAUGUAAAUUCUGUAAUCAUUGACUUCAUAAAAACAUGUAUUUUGCCUCUUCUGUGAAAUUCUAUGCAAUUUUAUUCAGUUAUAAAUAAUGGGGACUAGCUUUAAAAAUAUCACACAAGUAGUUCACAUAACUCUUUUUCUUCUAAAGUUAUAUGACCAAAUUUCAAGUUAAAAUUUAACACACACCAUCAAAUUUACAUUUUAUGUAAAAUAUAACAAUUUUAUGUAAUCUAUUUAUUUAUUUCUAAUUGAUAAAAAAAUGUGAUGCUUCAUAAAGUUUAGAAAGCAACGUAAUCCAUAUACAGUACAUUGAGAAGUUGAAUUAAAUCUUCCAAAGAGACACAAUAGAUUUAAAUGAUCAACAGAAUUAAUCUAGACUUUUAUACAUACAUAAAUACCAGCGUGCAAACAUAGAACUCAUCAGAUAUGGUAAACGGAAGCUCAAAAAUGCUUGCUGGAUGUGUUUUUUUUUUUUUUUCUGCAGAGCAAGUAUGGCUGUUAAUUUUAAUUUAAAAAUACCUUUAUUUGUGUCUAAACGAUGAAAACAGUCUUAUGGUUUUGGAAUGACAAGAGGAUGAGUAAAUGAUGGCGGAAUUUUAAUUCCCUUUAAAUCUUAUUACUAAAGGAACUUUGAUGUUUUAAUUCUGGUGGUUUGUCUGGAUGCCUAAAUAAACCUCUGUACAGUAAAACUGGGUAAAAUUUUUAUUGUUGUUUAAAGAAGCAUUUCAGCAUUUCAUUCAGAUGUUAAUAUUUCAGUAUAUUAUAUCUGGAGAAAAAUCAGACUGACUCAAAUAAAACUGUGACUGACUGAAAAACACAUCAGCCCACUCUACAGACGGAAGGCAGGUUAGAAUAUGUUAAUGUUGAUGGAGAGAAAGGCCUUCUGCCAAGACACAUUGAUUAGGAAUUGAAUUAAGCUGUAAAACUCUGCACAAAGAGACAUGAUCCAAUACAGCAGCCAUACCUGACAUUUACUGCCCAGAAUGAGCUUUUGUCUUGUUCCUCCAAGAGCACAUCACGUCAGACUUGAGAGAUGGAAAGGCUGAUUUUC